AAAUGCGAUAAGUAAUGUGAAUUGCAGAAUUCAGUGAAUCAUCGAAUCUUUGAACGCACAUUGCGCCCGCCAGUAUUCUGGCGGGCAUGCCUGUUCGAGCGUCAUUACAACCCUCAGGCCCCCGGGCCUGGCGUUGGGGAUCGGCGGAAGCCCCCUGCGGGCACAACGCCGUCCCCCAAAUACAGUGGCGGUCCCGCCGCAGCUUCCAUUGCGUAGUAGCUAACACCUCGCAACUGGAGAGCGGCGCGGCCACGCCGUAAAACACCCAACUUCUGAAUGUUGACCUCGAAUCAGGUAGGAAUACCCGCUGAACUUAAG
rnacentral:misc_RNA from 1 species